rnacentral:rRNA from 1 species
GAUGAACGCUGGCGGCGUGCCUAAUACAUGCAAGUCGAGCGAAGCGGGGACGGGUGAGUAACACGUGGAUAACCUGCUAUAAGAAUGGGAUAACUUAGGGAAACCGGAGCUAAACCGGCUUCUUAUCGAUGGAUCCGUGCGGCAUUAGCUAGUUGGUAAGGUAACGGCUUACCAAGGCAACGAGGCAUAGCCGACCUGAGAGGGGGAUCGGCCACACUGGAACUGAGACACGGUCCAGACUCCUACGGGAGGCAGCAGUAGGGAAUCUUCCGCAAUGGGCGAAAGCCUGACGGAGCAACGCCGCGUGAGUGAUGAAGGUCUUCGGAUCGUAAAGCUCUGUUAUUCGGGAGGCGUUACCUAAUCAGGAAGCCACGGCUAACUACGUGCCAGCAGCCGCGGUAAUUC